GACGAACGCUGGCGGCGUGCUUAACACAUGCAAGUCGAGCGGUAAGGCCCUUUCGGGGGUACACGAGCGGCGAACGGGUGAGUAACACGUGGGUGACCUGCUCUUAGCUCUGGGAUAAGCCUGGGAAACUGGGUCUAAUACCGGAUAUGACUCCAUGACGCAUGUUGUGGGGUGGAAAGCCUUGUGCGGCUAGGGAUGGGCCCGCGGCCUAUCAGCUUGUUGGUGGGGUGAUGGCCUACCAAGGCGACGACGGGUAGCCGGCCUGAGAGGGCGACCGGCCACACUGGGACUGAGACACGGCCCAGACUCCUACGGGAGGCAGCAGUGGGGAAUCUUGCGCAAUGGGCGAAAGCCUGACGCAGCGACGCCGCGUGAGGGAUGACGGCCU
rnacentral:rRNA from 1 species